rnacentral:rRNA from 1 species
GAUGAACGCUGGCGGCGUGCCUAAUACAUGCAAGUCGAGCGAACAGACGAGGAGCUUGCUCCUCUGACGUUAGCGGCGGACGGGUGAGUAACACGUGGAUAACCUACCUAUAAGACUGGGAUAACUUCGGGAAACCGGAGCUAAUACCGGAUAAUAUAUUGAACCGCAUGGUUCAAUAGUGAAAGACGGUUUUGCUGUCACUUAUAGAUGGAUCCGCGCCUCAUUAGCUAGUUGGUAGGGUAACGGCUUACCAAGGCAACGAUGCGUAGCCGACGUGAGGGGGGGAAGGCCCACCGAGAAGGUGACCCGCGACCCUGGGCCUUAGGGGAGGCCCAGGAGGGGAAGCUACCCAGAAGGGGGAAAUCUUGCAGAAGGGGCGGCGGUGUGGUGAAGAAAUGCUGCGUGUGGGAAAACUGCGUUUGGGGGGAAAACCAAUUUUGAAAGUAACUAAGCGGGUGUGACGGUAACCGAUAAAGAAGGCCCGGCUAACUACGUG